AAAGUCGUAACAAGGUUUCCGUAGGUGAACCUGCGGAAGGAUCAUUAUCCUUUUAUCGGAGGGUUGAUGCCAAUGCUCUGGGCUCAUGCUCGGUUCACUGGCUCAUCUCUUUCUGAUUCUACCCAUGUUUUUUGCGUACUACUUGUUUCCUUGGUGGGCUUGCCUACCAAUAGGACAUAUUAAAACCUUUUGUAAUUGCAGUCAGCGUCAGUAACAAUGUAAUAAUUACAACUUUCAACAACGGAUCUCUUGGUUCUG
rnacentral:misc_RNA from 1 species